rnacentral:rRNA from 1 species
AAUAUUGGACCAUGGGCGAAAGCCCUAUCCAGCCAUGCCGCGUGUGUGAAGAAGGUCUUUGGAUUGUAUAGCACUUUAUGUUGGGGGGACGGGCUUUAGGUUAUUUCCCUGAAUCUUUGACGUUACCAACAGAACAAGCACCGGCUCACUUCCUUCCAGCAGCCGCGGUAAUACGAAGGGUGCAAGCGUUAAUCGGAAUUACUGGGCGUAAAGCGCGCGUAGGUGGUUUGUUAAGUUGGAAGUGAAAGCCCUGGGCUCAACCUGGGAACUGCUUUCAAAACUGGCAAGCUAGAGUAUGGCAGAGGGUGGUGGAAUUUCCUGUGUAGCGGUGAAAUGCGUAGAUAUAGGAAGGAACACCAGUGGCGAAGGCGACUACCUGGACUGAUACUGACACUGAGGUGCGAAAGCGUGGGGAGCAAAC